GUCGAACGCUUCUUUCCUCCCGAGUGCUUGCACUCAAUUGGAAAGAGGAGUGGCGGUACGGGUGAGUAACACGUGGGUAACCUACCCAUCAGAGGGGGAUAACACUUGGAAACAGGUGCUAAUACCGCAUAACAGUUUAUGCCGCAUGGCAUAAGAGUGAAAGGCGCUUUCGGGUGUCGCUGAUGGAUGGACCCGCGGUGCAUUAGCUAGUUGGUGAGGUAACGGCUCACCAAGGCCACGAUGCAUAGCCGACCUGAGAGGGUGAUCGGCCACACUGGGACUGAGACACGGCCCAGACUCCUACGGGAGGCAGCAGUAGGGAAUCUUCGGCAAUGGACGAAAGUCUGACCGAGCAACGCCGCGUGAGUGAAGAAGGUUUUCGGAUCGUAAAACUCUGUUGUUAGAGAAGAACAAGGACGUUAGUAACUGAACGUCCCCUGACGGUAUCUAACCAGAAAGCCACGGCUAACUACGUGCCAGCAGCCGCGGUAAUACGUAGGUGGCAAGCGUUGUCCGGAUUUAUUGGGCGU
rnacentral:rRNA from 1 species